GCAUCAAUGGGGUAGUGGUAACCUUAGUCGUUGCCAAUAAACAUUCGACUAGCCGCGAGUUCGAUUCUCGCUUGAUGCA